UACGUAGGGUGCGAGCGUUACUCGGAAUUACUGGGCGUAAAGCGUGCGCAGGCGGCUUUGCAAGACAGAUGUGAAAUCCCCGGGCUUAACCUGGGAACUGCAUUUGUGACUGCAUGGCUGGAGUGCGGCAGAGGGGGAUGGAAUUCCGCGUGUAGCAGUGAAAUGCGUAGAUAUCGGGAGGAAUACCUAUGGCGAAGGCAGGUUACUGGGCCAUCACUGACGCUGAGCUGCGAAAGCUAGGGGAGCAAACAGG
rnacentral:rRNA from 1 species